CUUAUUAAUAUAAUAUAUGGAGAGAGGAAAGUCCGGGCAACACAGGGCGCCGUCCUUCCUAACAGAAAGAUACUCGCGAGGGUAUAGGCAACGUAACAGAAAACAACCGCCGCGCAUUUCAGCGGGGUAAGGGUGAAAAGGCGGGGUAAGAGCCCACCGCGGAGAUGGCGACAUUCUCCGGCAGUACGCCUGACGGGUUGCAAGACCAAAUAUAUCGACAGCUAUCAGAGGACUGCCCGUCCGAUGUCGAGGGGUAGGUUGCUUAUAAGAUUGCGGGCGACCGUAAUCUCAGAUAAAUGGCGGAAAUCCGCAUUGCGGAUACGGAACCCGGCUUACAGACCCUG
rnacentral:RNase_P_RNA from 1 species